rnacentral:rRNA from 1 species
GACGAACGCUGGCGGCGUGCUUAACACAUGCAAGUCGAACGGAAAGGCCCUGCUUUUGUGGGGUGCUCGAGUGGCGAACGGGUGAGUAACACGUGAGUAACCUGCCCUUGACUUUGGGAUAACUUCAGGAAACUGGGGCUAAUACCGGAUAGGAGCUCCUGCUGCAUGGUGGGGGUUGGAAAGUUUCGGCGGUUGGGGAUGGACUCGCGGCUUAUCAGCUUGUUGGUGGGGUAGUGGCUUACCAAGGCUUUGACGGGUAGCCGGCCUGAGAGGGGGACCGGGAACAGGGGGAAAGAGGUACGGCCCGGAGUCCUACGGAAGGCAGCGGUGGGGGAGAGUGCAUGAUGGGCGGAAGCAUGAUGCAGGAACGCGGCGGGCGGGGUGACGGCCUGCGGGUAGUAAACAGCAAAGGCCUGUGACGGAGCGUGAGUGAAGGUAAUGGAUAAAGAAGCACCGGCUAACUACGUG